rnacentral:rRNA from 1 species
UGAGCAAUCUGCCCUUCUCUUCGGAAUAAGCGUUGGAAACGACGUCUAAUGCCGAAUACGACCUCCUUUCGCAUGAUCGGAGGUGGAAAGCUCCGGCGGAGAAGGAUGAGCUCGCGGCCUAUCAGCUAGUUGGUGUGGGUAAUGGCCCACCAAGGCGACGACGGGUAGCCGACCUGAGAGGGUNAUCGGCCACAUUGGAACUGAGACACGGUCCAGACUCCGUACGGGAGCAG